rnacentral:rRNA from 1 species
GCGAGCCCUGAGAUGAGUCUUCCCUGACAGUUUAACUGUCCUAAAGGGUUGUUCGAGACUAGAACGUUGAUAGGCAGGGUGUGUAAGCGUUGUGAGGCGUUGAGCUAACCUGUACUAAUUGCCCGUGAGGCUUAACCAUACAACACCCAAGGGGUUUUGUA